CAUUUUAUGUGCAUAAGUUCAUGCUCACAAGUUGAUGCGCACAAAUAUGUAUAUAUACUUAUCUGUCUUUAAUAUAAACCAAGUAUUGUUAUAAAUUAAUUUUGUCCAAUUUAUUUAAGUUGUAUGUGGUUGUGACAGUAACAAGGACAGUAACGACAAGGAUACAUAUUUAAAAAAAAAAAAAAAAAAAAAAAAAAGUAGUCGUGCUCGAAAUAAUAUAUAAAUAUGAUUAAUACAAAGGAUAACCGAGGAUCCGAAAACGAGCGUGAAAUCAUACUAUUAGGUUUAUUGAAUAUUGAUAAUGUAUAUGGUGCUGAUUGGUACACUAAUAUUAAUGAAAUAAAAAAAGACAUAGAAUGUAAAGCAGUAAAAUUAAAUUUAGCUUUUAAGCAUUUAAGAAUUUUCGAAGAAAAAUUUGAAUUUUUAUCUUUAGAAGAUUAUAAUUAUGUAAAAAACAAUUAUAUAUAUAGUGCUAUUCUUAUUUUCAAUCCUAAUUUAAUUAAUAAUAAUUCUACAACAGCUAAUACAAAAAUAUGCACUACUAGUAAUAUUAUUAAAAGUAGUAAGGACACAGGAAAAUAUGAAGGCACUGUAGUUAGUACAAAUACAAUCAAUAAAGAAUUAAAAGUGGAAAGUAAGUCAACAGAAGAACAAGGUGUAACAAAUCGUAAUGAUAGUCCAUGUAGUAAAGGAAAUGCUGAAGACAUUCACAAUAAAGAUAAUAAAACUGAACCAAAACAAAAAAAAAACAUAUCUGAAAAUGAAAACAAAAAGAAUGUUGAAAAAAAAAAAGAAGGUAUAGGUGUUUUAGUGAUAACGUGUAAAAAAAUAGAAAAAACAAAAAUGAAAAAUAUUUUAAUUAAAAUGUUAAAAAAUGAAAUAAAAGUGGAAUCAACAGUAUUAAAAAAAAAUUAUAAACCUUCUACAAAUCAUACAUUAAAGACAACUGAGCUAAACACAAGUAAAACUAAAAUGACUGAGAUCAAAUACACAAAUAAUCCCAACGACACAAAACCUACAGCUGGUGAGCAGAAUUUAUUUGAUGUAAGGCGAAAUAAUUUUUUCAAUACGACAGCUCUAAUAUNNNGCUCAUCAAACGUUUUGGCUAACACGAGUUUAGUUCAAAGAGAGUACGACGAAAAUGAACUGGCAGAGAAGUUGAGAAAGGCGAAGAAGGAGAAAACGUUGACAGAACAAAUUUCGAACGACAACAGUGUUAAAAUUAAAAAAGGAAAUAAAAUUUUCAAAUCUUUUACAUCAUUAUUUAAAAAAUGAAAAAUUGGUCUUUUUUUUUAAUAGGUGUGUAGUAUGUAUGAAAUUGAAAAAAAAAAUAUGAACACAAAAAGCGUACAAAAUUAUGAACUAGUCAAAAAAAAAAAAAAA
rnacentral:lncRNA from 1 species